rnacentral:lncRNA from 1 species
CUCCUUGCAAGACUGCUUAAAACUAACUCGGGUAUCAUAAUUUGCAAUCCACAGUGUAGACAUAUCAAAAUGUCCUUGUUCUCAUUUCCACUGCUUGCUGCCAUAGCAACCCCUGGUCAAAAGGAAAUUUCCAUUGAUAUCAGAAGGAGCAGCAUUUCACCCAGUGCACUACCACCACAGGAUGAUGUGCUGAAAAGUGAGCCAUACCCUCCUGGGCACUAGUUCAAUCCCCUUGCCUUCACUGGAAAAGCAACAGUGCAACCUAGGGGAACUCCAUAAAACAUCUGGUUGAGAAGACAAGAGAAGGACUCUUGUUUUCUUCCCUCCUCACCUGCAUCGGGUCAAAAAGUAACAUUUUGAAAGUGUAAUUUUACAAAAAAGUUAAGGAAAUCUGAUGACUGGUUAAAAAAGCAGAUCAAUGAGGACAUGAUUUUUGCAGACAGAGCUGCAGCUUGCACAGUGACUGGAACACGACUGGCUCGGGAAAUGAACAGUAGCACAUCACUCAUUUUUCCUGCCUGUUUGCUCCUAAUUAUCUUGCAAUACAUCUCACUGGUAGUUUUAUCAUACAGAAAGACAGAAGGUCCUUCUGGUUACAGCACAUAAUGACUACUUUUAAAAUGGCUUGCUAUUAAUUCCUGGGAAAGCCUGUCUCUUUCUCCCCCUCUCAAGCUCACUGCCUCUCCUAGGGUUAUUGUUUUGUUUUUGAGGUUUUUUUGGGGGAGGUAGGAUGGCAAUUCUCUGAUAAUGUAUUGUGAUUUAAGGAAAAGAAGGGCCAGCAGAGGUGGCUUUCCCUUUCUUUUGAUGAGACUAUGGCCACACUGAAAGAAGUGUCAGCA